rnacentral:rRNA from 1 species
GCUCAGUAACACGUGGAUAACAUGCCCUGAAGUGGAGGAUAAUCUCGGGAAAUUGAGGAUAAUACUCCAUAGAUCAUAGGAUCUGGAAUGACUUAUGGUCGAAAGUUCCGGCGCUUCAGGAUUGGUCUGCGGCCUAUCAGGUCGUAGUGGGUGUAACGGACCCACUAGCCGAUGACGGGUAUGGGCCUUGAGAGAGGGAGCCCAGAGAUGGAUUCUGAGACACGAAUCCAGGCCCUACGGGGCGCAGCAGUCGCGAAAACUUCACACUGGAGGCAACUCCGAUGAGGGAAUUCCUAGUGCUAGCACAUUAGUGCUAGCUUUUCUUAAGCGUAGAUAACUUAAGGAAUAAGGGCUGGGUAAGACGGGUGCCAGCCGCCGCGGUAAUACCCGCAGCCCAAGUGGUGGUCGAUUUUAUUGAGUCUAAAACGUUCGUAGCCGGUUUGGUAAAUCCUUGGGUAAAUCGAGAGGCUUAACUUUUCGAAUUCCGAGGAGACUGCCAAACUUGGGACCGGGAGAGGCGAGAGGUACUUCUGGGGUAGGGGUAAAAUCCUGUAAUCCUAGAAGGACCACCGGUGGCGAAGGCGUCUCGCUAGAACGGAUCCGACGGUGAGGGACGAAGCCCUGGGGUCGCAAACGGGAUUAGAUACCCCGGUAGUCCAGGGUGUAAACGCUGCAGACUUGGUGUUGGGGGCCCUACGGGGGCGUUCAGUGCCGGAGAGAAGUUGUUAAGUCUGCUACUUGGGGAGUACGUCCGCAAGGAUGAAACUUAAAGGAAUUGGCGGGGGAGCACCGCAACGGGAGGAGCGUGCGGUUUAAUUGGAUUCAACACCGGAAAACUCACCAGCGGCGACUGUUACAUGAAAGUCAGGCCGAUGACCUUACUAGAUUUUCAGAGAGGUGGUGCAUGGCCGUCGUCAGUUCGUACCGUAAGGCGUUCUCUUAAGUGAGAUAACGAACGAGACCCUCACCAAUAGUUGCUACCCAGUCCUCCGGGGCUGGGGCACACUAUUGGGACCGCUGGCGCUAAGUCAGAGGAAGGAGUGGACGACGGUA